rnacentral:rRNA from 1 species
GAUGAACGCUGGCGGCGUGCCUAAUACAUGCAAGUUGAGCGAACGGACGAGAAGCUUGCUUCUCUGAUGCUAGCGGCGGACGGGUUAGUAACACGUGGAUAACCUACCUAUAAGACUGGGAUAACUUCGGGAAACCGGAGCUAAUACCGGAUAAUAUUUUGAACCGCAUGGUUCAAAAGUGAAAGACGGUCUUGCUGUCACUUAUAGAUGGAUCCGCGCUGCAUUAGCUAGUUGGUAAGGUAACGGCUUACCAAGGCAACGAUGCAUAGCCGACCUGAGAGGGUGAUCGGCCACACUGGAACUGAGACACGGUCCAGACUCCUACGGGAGGCAGCAGUAGGGAAUCUUCCGCAAUGGGCGAAAGCCUGACGGAGCAACGCCGCGUGAGUGAUGAAGGUCUUCGGAUCGUAAAACUCUGUUAUUAGGGAAGAACAUAUGUGUAAGUAACUGUGCACAUCUUGACGGUACCUAAUCAGAAAGCCACGGCUAACUACGUG